GAUGAAGAACGUAGCGAAAUGCGAUAAGUAAUGUGAAUUGCAGAAUUCAGUGAAUCAUCGAAUCUUUGAACGCACAUUGCGCCCGCCAGCAUUCUGGCGGGCAUGCCUGUCCGAGCGUCAUUUCAACCCUCGAACCCCUCCGGGGGGUCGGCGUUGGGGACCUCGGGAGCCCCUAAGACGGGAUCCCGGCCCCGAAAUACAGUGGCGGUCUCGCCGCAGCCUCUCCUGCGCAGUAGUUUGCACAACUCGCACCGGGAGCGCGGCGCGUCCACGUCCGUAAAACACCCAACUUCUGAAAUGUUGACCUCGGAUCAGGUAGGAAUACCCGCUGAACUUAAGCAUAUCAAUAAGCGGAGGA
rnacentral:misc_RNA from 1 species